rnacentral:rRNA from 1 species
UACAGAGGGUGCGAGCGUUGUUCGGAAUUACUGGGCGUAAAGCGCGCGUAGGCGGCUUUUUAAGUCUGCUGGUGAAAUGCCGGGGCUCAACCCCGUGCCCGCCACAGAUACUGGGAAGCUGGAGACAUGUAGAGGCAAGCGGAAUUCCGGGUGUAGCGGUGGAAUGCGUAGAGAUCCGGAAGAACACCGGAGGCGAAGGCGGCUUGCUGGGCAUGGUCUGACGCUGAGGCGCGAAAGCGUGGGGAGCGAACAGG